UACGUAGGGGGCAAGCGUUGUCCGGAUUUAUUGGGCGUAAAGAGCGUGUAGGCGGCCAGACAGGUCCGUUGUGAAAACUCGAGGCUCAACCUCGAGACGCCGAUGGAAACCGUUUGGCUAGAGUCCGGAAGAGGAGAGUGGAAUUCCUGGUGUAGCGGUGAAAUGCGCAGAUAUCGGGAGGAACACCUAUGGCGAAGGCAGCUCGCUGGGACGUUACUGACGCUGAGACGCGAAAGCGUGGGGAGCAAACAGG
rnacentral:rRNA from 1 species